UACGGAGGAUGCAAGCGUUAUCCGGAUUCAUUGGGUUUAAAGGGUGCGUAGGCGGGAAAAUAAGUCAGUGGUGAAAACCUGCAGCUUAACUGCAGAACUGCCAUUGAUACUGUUAUUCUUGAGUAUAGUUGAAGUGGGUGGAAUGUGUGGUGUAGCGGUGAAAUGCUUAGAUAUCACACAGAACGCCAAUUGCGAAGGCAGCUCACUAAGCUAUUACUGACGCUGAGGCACGAAAGCGUGGGGAU
rnacentral:rRNA from 1 species